rnacentral:lncRNA from 13 species
AUGGAAGCUUAAAUAAGGUCUGUGUCUAAGGUCUGUGUGUACUAACAAAAGUCUGUCCACGCCACACAGACUCAACUGAAACCCAGAACUAGCAGAAUGACAACGUUGCUGUGUUAAGAACAGGGUUUUAAGCUGAGGUGAUUAGAACAGGGAUCCCUCUCCCUGCUCUCUGGUUUAAUAUGAAUAGACGUUGUGUUUUAACAGCUGUUGAGUCCUCUAUGAGUUGAAGCAUCGGAGUGCCUGCGUCUCUCCCUUUCCUGCACACACCCAGUCACUAACCCACCCUUCCACCACACGCUACAGUGUGUCCCUGUCUUUCCACACAUCCACAUUUCAACCUGUCAGUUCAGUCUACCAAAACCACCAAACCUAGCCAGUUCAGUUAUCCAAAACCUACAAACCUUGCAUGGCCAUACUUGUGAACUUCUGCUUAGACCAUGAUUUUCCUCCUUAAAAAUAAAUCACUUUCACAAUGUAUGAAUAACAAACAUGUUAUAAUAUAAUCCUCCUACGUUUGUAAUUUGGAAAGUACAUGGAUGUUAAAUGGAUAAGAAACAACACAGAACUUCAUCAUAUAUGCGAAAACCGUCAUUUUUCUAUGAUGCCACUUGCCUAGUCAAGGAAGCGUCAUGCAAAAACAUAUAUUGGGGAAACUCCACUUAGACCAUGGGUAACAAAUUAAACCAAUCAGUUGGAAGCAAAUUUACCUAAUGAACAAAUGUGAUGGUGGAUGGUGGCUCUAAGUUAUCUGAUAGGUUGAUUUGUUUAUUCGGAUAUAAUCAUCUACUUAGCUGGCCUUCCUCAGCGUGGUGGCUAAUUUGGCCAGGUUGGCCUGAGAGAAACAGCUAGCAGCCAUUUUAGACUAAUGGUUUAAACCAUGCUCUAAGCAAAAGUUCACAAGUAUGGCCCCUGGCAGUUCAGUUCAGUUAACAAAAACAUCGCCAGUUCAGUUCCUUUCUCCCACCAGCAGAGGAAGCUGAGUCAAAGCAGCUUGCAUGUUAGCUAGCCUUUAUGUAGCCUUUAUGUAGCCUCAUAGCUCCUAGCAGUGUUGCAGCUCUGCCCUCACAGAGAGGAGAAGAAGAAGAU